AGUGAACGCUGGCGGUAGGCCUAACACAUGCGAGUCGAACGGCAGCACAGUAAGAGCUUGCUCUUACGGGUGGCGAGUGGCGGACGGGUGAGGAAUACAUCGGAAUCUACUUUUUCGUGGGGGAUAACGUAGGGAAACUUACGCUAAUACCGCAUACGACCUACGGGUGAAAGCAGGGGAUCUUCGGGCCUUGCGCGAUAGAAGGAGCGAAUGUCGGAUGAGCUAGUUGGCGAGGUAAAGGCCUACAAAGGCGACGAUCAGUAGCUGGUGAGAGAGGAUGAUCAGCUACAGGGGGACUGAGAAACGGCACAGACUGCGAGGGGAGGAAGCAGUGGGGAAUUUGCAGAAAUGUGCGAAAGACUGACGGAGCAAUGACGCGUGGAGGUAGAAGGCCUAGGGGGAGUGAACUUCUUUUCACGGAGCAGAAGCAAUGACGGUAGCUGGGGAAUAAGCAUCGGCUAACUCGGUG
rnacentral:rRNA from 1 species